GUGGGGAAUUUUGGACAAUGGGCGAAAGCCUGAUCCAGCCAUGCCGCGUGCAGGAUGAAGGCCUUCGGGUUGUAAACUGCUUUUGUACGGAACGAAAAGACUCCUUCUAAUAAAGGGGGUCCAUGACGGUACCGUAAGAAUAAGCACCGGCUAACUACGUGCCAGCAGCCGCGGUAAUACGUAGGGUGCAAGCGUUAAUCGGAAUUACUGGGCGUAAAGCGUGCGCAGGCGGUUAUAUAAGACAGAUGUGAAAUCCCCGGGCUCAACCUGGGAAAUGCAUUUGUGACUGUAUAGCUGGAGUACGGUAGAGGGGGAUGGAAUUCCGCGUGUAGCAGUGAAAUGCGUAGAUAUGCGGAGGAACACCGAUGGCGAAGGCAAUCCCCUGGACCUGUACUGACGCUCAUGCACGAAAGCGUGGGGAGCAAACAGGAUUAGAAACCCUAGUAGUCC
rnacentral:rRNA from 1 species